rnacentral:rRNA from 1 species
GAGUUUGAUCAUGGCUCAGGAUUAACGCUAGCGGAAGGCAUAAUACAUGCAAGUCGAACGGGAUAGGAUUUAGCAAUAGAUCCUUGAGAGUGGCGCACGGGUGCGUAACACGUAUGCAACCUGCCUUUAACAGGGGGAUAGCCUCUCGAAAGAGAGAUUAAUACCCCAUAAAAUAAUGGAGUAGCAUUACUAAAUUAUUAAAGAUUUAUCGGUUAAAGAUGGGCAUGCGGCUGAUUAGGUAGUUGGUGAGGUAAUGGCUCACCAAGCCGACGAUCAGUAGGGGGUCUGAGAGGAUGUCCCCCACACUGGUACUGAGACACGGACCAGACUCCUACGGGAGGCAGCAGUA